rnacentral:rRNA from 1 species
AGGACGAACGCUGGCGGCGUGCUUAACACAUGCAAGUCGAGCGGAAAGGCCCUUCGGGGUACUCGAGCGGCGAACGGGUGAGUAACACGUGAGUAAUCUGCCCCUAGCUCUGGGAUAGCUCCGGGAAACCGGGAUUAAUACCGGAUACGACCACCUUAGACAUCUUUUGUGGUGGAAAGAAUUUCGGCUAGGGAUGAGCUCGCGGCCUAUCAGCUUGUUGGUGGGGUAACGGCCUACCAAGGCGACGACGGGUAGCC